rnacentral:rRNA from 1 species
GAUGAGCGCUGGCGGCGUGCCUAAUACAUGCAAGUCGAGCGAACGGACGAGAAGCUUGCUUCUCUGAUGUUAGCGGCGGACGGGUGAGUAACACGUGGAUAACCUACCUAUAAGACUGGGAUAACUUCGGGAAACCGGAGCUAAUACCGGAUAAUAUUUUGAACCGCAUGGUUCAAAAGUGAAAGACGGUCUUGCUGUCACUUAUAGAUGGAUCCGCGCUGCAUUAGCUAGAUGGUAAGGUAACGGCUUACCAAGGCAACGAUGCAUAGCCGACCUGAGAGGGUGAUCGGCCACACUGGAACUGAGACACGGUCCAGACUCCUACGGGAGGCAGCAGUAGGGAAUCUUCCGCAAUGGGCGAAAGCCUGACGGAGCAACGCCGCGUGAGUGAUGAAGGUCUUCGGAUCGUAAAACUCUGUUAUUAGGGAAGAACAUAUGUGUAAGUAACUGUGCACAUCUUGACGGUACCUAAUCAGAAAGCCACGGCUAACUACGUG